rnacentral:rRNA from 1 species
CAGCCGCCGCGGGAAUACGGAGGGUGCAAGCGUUAAUCGGAAUUACUGGGCGUAAAGCGCACGCAGGCGGUCUGACAAGUCAGAUGUGAAAUCCCCGGGCUUAACCUGGGAACUGCAUUUGAAACUGUCAGGCUGGAGUCUUGUAGAGGGGGGUGGAAUUCCAGGUGUAGCGGUGAAAUGCGUAGAGAUCUGGAGGAAUACCGGUGGCGAAGGCGGCCCCCUGGACAAAGACUGACGCUCAGGUGCGAAAGCGUGGGGAGCAAACAGGAUUAGAUACCCGAGUAGUCCCUGUCUCUUAUAA